rnacentral:rRNA from 1 species
UACGAAGGGGGCUAGCGUUGCUCGGAAUCACUGGGCGUAAAGCGCACGUAGGCGGACUCUUAAGUCAGGGGUGAAAUCCUGGAGCUCAACUCCAGAACUGCCUUUGAUACUGAAGAUCUUGAGUUCGGGAGAGGUGAGUGGAACUGCGAGUGUAGAGGUGAAAUUCGUAGAUAUUCGCAAGAACACCAGUGGCGAAGGCGACUUCCUGGCCUGUUCUUGACGCUGAGGCGCGAAAGCUAGGGUAGCAAACGGG